UACGUAGGUGGCGAGCGUUAUCCGGAAUUAUUGGGCGUAAAGCGAGCGCAGGCGGUUCCUUAAGUCUGAUGUGAAAGCCCACGGCUCAACCGUGGAGGGUCAUUGGAAACUGGUCGACUUGAGUGCAGAAGAGGGAAGUGGAAUUCCAUGUGUAGCGGUGAAAUGCGUAGAGAUAUGGAGGAACACCAGUGGCGAAGGCGGCUUCCUGGUCUGUAACUGACACUGAGGCGCGAAAGCGUGGGUAGCAAACAGGAUUAGAUA
rnacentral:rRNA from 1 species